AUCAAUAAGCGGAGGAAAAGAAACUAACAAGGAUUCCCCUAGUAACUGCGAGUGAAGCGGGAAAAGCUCAAAUUUAAAAUCUGGCGGUCUCUGGCCGUCCGAGUUGUAAUCUAGAGAAGUAAUGCCCGCGCUGGACCGUGUACAAGUCUCCUGGAAUGGAGCGUCAUAGAGGGUGAGAAUCCCGUCUCUGACACGGACUACCAGGGCUUUGUGGUAUGCUCUCAAAGAGUCGAGUUGUUUGGGAAUGCAGCUCAAAAUGGGUGGUAAAUUCCAUCUAAAGCUAAAUAUUGGCGAGAGACCGAUAGCGAACAAGUACCGUGAGGGAAAGAUGAAAAGAACUUUGGAAAGAGAGUUAAACAGUACGUGAAAUUGCUGAAAGGGAAACGCUUGAAGUCAGUCGCGUUGGCCAGGGAUCAGCCUCGCUCUUGCGUGGUGUACUUCCUGGUUGACGGGUCAGCAUCAAUUCUGACCGCUGGAAAAAGGCCUGGGGAAUGUGGCAGCUUCGGCUGUGUUAUAGCCCCUGGUCACAUACGGCGGUUGGGAUUGAGGAACUCAGCACGCCGCAAGGCCGGGUUUCGACCACGUUCGUGCUUAGGAUGCUGGCAUAAUGGCUUUAAGCGACCCGU
rnacentral:rRNA from 1 species